UUUCCAUUAAUUUAAAAAAUCUCUAUUUUGGACUCUUUCAUCACUUCAUCAUCUAUUUAACCCAAAAGAUAGUGGUUUCUGCCGAUCUUUCUCCAUCACUUUGAAGUCCCAAAUUUAAAACUUUCCCUCCCUUUUCUUUCUUGGACCAAAUCUCAACCUUUUAGUGCUCCCUUUCACAUUACCAAAAUUGUUGUUUUAUAGCAUAUAUAUACAUAUAUAUGAAUGUGAUUUUUGUGUUGCAUCAAAAUGUCGAUCAAUAAUAUUAAUACUGCUCUAAUUGUUCUAUUUCUUUGUCUGCAUUCAUGCAAUGCUAGAGUUAUCCAUGUGCCUUACAAUCAUCUUGCUAAGGACUUUGUCAAGGGAAAUGAUGUUGUGGGAGAUAGAGAGAGAGAGAGAAUCAUGUUGAAAAAGAGUCAAUUUGUAAGAGGAGUUUUAGGGUUCAUCAAAUGAAAAGAGGAGAAGAUGAAGAAGCUGCAGGUUUCAACCUCGAUUAUUUGCCGCCUAGGACGCAUCCUCCCUCCCAUAAUUAAUUCAUUUUUUUCUUUUUCCAUUUUUGUAUAUUGGAAAUGGAGGAUGCUAAUACUUUUUGAAGAAA